UGUGUGUGUGAAAGAAUCGGAACGCAACCACAGACUGCUAAUUCAUUGUCAUCUCAUCAUGGCGAUCUGGAAUGACGGAAACGAAGACCUGCUUAUCACCUUGAUCCAGGAGAGGCCAGCUCUGUACGACAUCACUGAGAAAAGGUACUCGAACCGAGUAGUGAAAACCGGACUCUGGCGAGAGAUUGAAACGCAACUUGGUUUCUCGGGAAACGUGCCCCUUCGGGUAGUUGUGGAGCACAAAGGACUGACAGACAGCAGUGGAUCAUAACCAGGCUGCAGUUUUAAGAGCCCUACACAAGAAGGGAGGAGAUUACUUCGAACCUCACCAUCACGGUGGCUGCAGAAUCAACCCCCGGUGGCACCAGCAGUGAAACCUCGACCAGCACCACGAGGAGUCCUUCCACUUUGAUGCUGAGCCCUGCACUCCCAUGGCAGAAUCCACCAUCUGCACCACACCGGCACCGCGGCUCGGAGAGAGGCCAAGCACACUCAGCACUCGAAGGCCUCCGGCGAAGCGCAGGAUGGUGAUACUAAAUGAGAUACUGUCUACCGCUGUUCAUUGUUCAAGAUUGAAAUGUAAAUGUGCAAGCCGUUUUUCUGCCCCUCUAUUCACAUGUAGCCUUUCAUACGUGAUGGUUUCUUCAUUCUCAAACUGUUGUGGAGCAGAACUAUACAGUUGCAGGAUUAGUCUCAAGUACCUCAAUAUAAUUAUAGUAUGUCUGCACUUUAUGUGCUCAUUUCAUCAUUCAUUCAUGUAUUUUAUAUUCUACUAAAAGUUAAUCAAACCAUAAACAAGGUGGCCUGUUGGGAUUAUUAUAUAUAUAUUAUUUUAUCCCACUUUAUGCUUUGCUCUUGCUGCUUGUUUUACACUGAUUGUAUAUUUUAUUUCUUACUGAUGUAAAGCACUUUGAACUGCAAUCCCCUGUAUGAAAGGUGCGAUACAAAUAAAGUUAUUAUUAUUCAGAUGGAUGUUUCUGCCCCUCUGUUCAUUCUCCCAUUAUCCUCCUCAAUCUGCCUAGAAGUAUUUUAAUGUUGUAGCUGUUACU